GGAAGGGRUGUAUUUAUUAGAUAAAAAACCAAUGCCCUUCGGGGCUCCUUGGUGAUUCAUGAUAACUUAACGAAUCGCAUGGCCUUGUGCCGGCGAUGGUUCAUUCAAAUUUCUGCCCUAUCAACUUUCGAUGGUAGGAUAGUGGCCUACCAUGGUUUCAACGGGUAACGGGGAAUUAGGGUUCUAUUCCGGAGAGGGAGCCUGAGAAACGGCUACCACAUCCAAGGAAGGCAGCAGGCGCGCAAAUUACCCAAUCCCGACACGGGGAGGUAGUGACAAUAAAUACUGAUGCAGAGCUCUUUUGGGUUUUGCAAUUGGAAUGAGUACAAUUUAAAUCCCUUAACGAGGAACAAUUGGAGGGCAAGUCUGGUGCCAGCAGCCGCGGUAAUUCCAGCUCCAAUAGCGUAUAUUAAAGUUGUUGCAGUUAAAAAGCUCGUAGUUGAACCUUGGGCCUGGCUGGCCGGUCCGCCUCACCGCGUGCACUGGUCCGGCCGGGCCUUUCCUUCUGGGGAGCCGCAUGCCCUUCACUGGGUGUGUCGGGGAACCAGGACUUUUAC
rnacentral:rRNA from 1 species